GGAGAGGUGGCUGAGCGGUUGAAAGCGACGGUCUUGAAAACCGUUGAAGGCUAAUACCCUUCCGUGGGUUCGAAUCCCACCCUCUCCGCCAACCC
rnacentral:tRNA from 1 species